UAUCGUUGUUCAGUUGUGUUUUUUAGCAACAGUUUUAAUAUGUCUUGUAUUUUUUAUAAAUUCGGUGAGUUGUUAUCUUUGGCACUGGACGGUUGUUUGUUUAUACUUUCUGUUUCGCUGUUACCGUAAUGAGUAGAAUAUGUGCGCCCCGCUCAACAACGUGUCGUCUGGCUUGACUGCAGUCAGCAGUCCUCCGGAGCAGCGAGCUGCGUCUCCUUUAAAAAACAUUCUGCUCCUCUGGUGGAGAGAAGUUCGCUCCUCCAGCUUGUGGCGCACUUCACUUCACAAGUCUCUGUGUCUCCAGGAUCUCUGCUCCAUCUGACUGGUCCACCGGAAGAAAUGCAGCCUCUGGGUAAUUACGUCAUGCAACAAAGUAUCACCAUGGUGUUGUGAGCAAAGCACUGUGACUGAAGAUGUCUGGUGUGGAUGAAGAGGAGGACAGACCAGGUGUGGACAGGUUGUCUCAGAAGAGUAACCAGUCCAAUGAACCUCCACUAAACUUCAGUGAUGAACCUGGACCUUCAGACUCAAA